rnacentral:rRNA from 1 species
CCUACGGGGGGCUGCAGUGGGGAAUAUUGGACAAUGGGGGGAACCCUGAUCCAGCCAUGCCGCGUGUGUGAAGAAGGCCCUCGGGUUGUAAAGCACUUUCAGUGAGGAAGAACGCCUGGUGGUUAAUACCCAUCAGGAAAGACAUCACUCACAGAAGAAGCACCGGCUAACUCCGUGCCAGCAGCCGCGGUAAUACGGAGGGUGCGAGCGUUAAUCGGAAUUACUGGGCGUAAAGCGCGCGUAGGUGGCUUGAUAAGCCGGUUGAGAAAGCCCCGGGCUCAACCUGGGAACGGCAUCCGGAACUGUCAAGCUAGAGUGCAGGAGAGGAAGGUAGAAUUCCCGGUGUAGCGGUGAAAUGCGUAGAGAUCGGGAGGAAUACCAGUGGCGAAGGCGGCCUUCUGGACUGACACUGACACUGAGGUGCGAAAGCGUGGGUAGCAAACAGGAUUAGAUACCCCUGUAGUC